rnacentral:rRNA from 1 species
UACGAAGGGGGCUAGCGUUGUUCGGAAUCACUGGGCGUAAAGCGCACGCAGGCGGAUUGAUAAGUCGGGGGUGAAAUCCCGGAGCUCAACUUCGGAAUUGCCUUUGAUACUGUCUGUCUUCGAGUUCGGGAGAGGUUGGCGGAAUUCCUAGUGUAGAGGUGAAAUUCGUAGAUAUUAGGAAGAACACCAGUGGCGAAGGCGGCCAACUGGCCCGAUACUGACGCUCAUGUGCGAAAGCGUGGGGAGCAAACAGG